rnacentral:rRNA from 1 species
UACAGAGGGGGCAAGCGUUGUUCGGAAUUACUGGGCGUAAAGGGCGCGUAGGCGCCUGUUAAGUCGGACGUGAAAUCCCUCGGCUCAACCGGGGAACUGCGUCCGAUACUGGCGGGCUUGAAUUCGGGAGAGGGAUGUGGAAUUCCAGGUGUAGCGGUGAAAAUGCGUAGAUAUCGGGGAGGAACACCUGUGGCGAAAAGCGGCGCAC